rnacentral:rRNA from 1 species
ACGGGUGAGUAACGCGUGGGUAACCUGCCCUUAUAUCUGGGAUAACCUGCCGAAAGGUGAGCUAAUACCGGAUGACCUAUUGAUAUUGCCUGAUAUUGAUAGUAAAGGCGGCCUCUAUUUAUAAGCUGCCGUAUAAGGAUGGACCCGCGUCUGAUUAGCUAGUUGGUGAGGUAACGGCUCACCAAGGCGACGAUCAGUAGCCGGCCUGAGAGGGUGAACGGCCACACUGGGACUGAGACACGGCCCAGACUCCUACGGGAGGCAGCAGUGGGGAAUCUUCCGCAAUGGACGAAAGUCUGACGGAGCAACGCCGCGUGAGUGAAGAAGGUCUUCGGAUUGUAAAACUCUGUUUUUUGGGAAGAACGGUCUCUAUGUGAAUAAUGUAGAGAAUUGACGGUACCAAAGGAGGAAGCCCCGGCUAACUACGUGCCAGCAGCCGCGGUAAUACGUAGGGGGCAAGCGUUGUCCGGAAUUAUUGGGCGUAAAGAGCGCGCAGGCGGCUAUUUAAGUCUACCGUGAAAGCUUACGGCUCAACCGUAACAGGCCGGUGGAUACUGGAUGGCUUGAGGGCAGGAGAGGAAAGUG